GGGCCCGCACAAGCGGUGGAUGAUGUGGUUUAAUUCGAUGCAACGCGAAAAACCUUACCUACCCUUGACAUGCCAGGAACGCUGCAGAAAUGUGGCGGUGCCCGAAAGGGAACCUGGACACAGGUGCUGCAUGGCUGUCGUCAGCUCGUGUCGUGAGAUGUUGGGUUAAGUCCCGCAACGAGCGCAACCCUUGUCAUUAGUUGCUACAUUCAGUUGAGCACUCUAAUGAGACUGCCGGUGACAAACCGGAGGAAGGUGGGGAUGACGUCAAGUCCUCAUGGCCCUUAUGGGUAGGGCUACACACGUCAUACAAUGGCGCGUACAGAGGGUUGCCAACCCGUGAGGGGGAGCCAAUCCCAGAAAGCGCGUCGUAGUCCGGAUUGAAGUCUGCAACUCGACUUCAUGAAGUCGGAAUCGCUAGUAAUCGCGGAUCAGCAUGUCGCGGUGAAUACGUUCCCGGGCCUU
rnacentral:rRNA from 1 species